AGAGUUUGAUCCUGGCUCAGAACGAACGCUGGCGGCGUGCUUAACACAUGCAAGUCGAACGGGAUUAGGGGCUUGCUCCUAAUCUAGUGGCGCACGGGUGAGUAACGCGUGGAUAAUCUGCCUGAUGAUCUGGGAUAACAUUUCGAAAGGGGUGCUAAUACCGGAUAAGCCCACGAGGACUUCGGUUUUUGCGGGAAAAGAGGGGGACCUUCGGGCCUCUUGUCAUCAGAUGAGUCCGCGUACCAUUAGCUAGUUGGUGGGGUAAAGGCCUACCAAGGCGACGAUGGUUAGCUGGUCUGAGAGGAUGAUCAGCCACACUGGAACUGAGACACGGUCCAGACUCCUACGGGAGGCAGCAGUGGGGAAUUUUGCGCAAUGGGGGAAACCCUGACGCAGCAACGCCGCGUGAGUGAUGAAGGCCUUCGGGUCGUAAAGCUCUGUCUAGAGGAAAGAAGUGUGGGGCGGCUAAUAACCGUUUCACUUGACGGUACCUCUGAAGGAAGCACCGGCUAACUCCGUGCCAGCAGCCGCGGUAAUACGGAGGGUGCGAGCGUUGUUCGGAAUUAUUGGGCGUAAAGCGCGUGUAGGCGGUUUCUUAAGUCUGAUGUGAAAGCCCCGGGCCUAACCUGGGAAGUGCAUUGGAUACUGGGAGACUUGAGUACGGGAGAGGGUAGUGGAAUUCCUAGUGUAGGAGUGAAAUCCGUAGAUAUUAGGAGGAACACCGGUGGCGAAGGCGGCUGCCUGGACCGAUACUGACGCUGAGACGCGAAAGCGUGGGUAGCAAACAGGAUUAGAUACCCUGGUAGUCCACGCCGUAAACGAUGAGUACUAGGUGUUGCGGGUAUUGACCCCUGCAGUGCCGCAGCUAACGCAUUAAGUACUCCGCCUGGGAAGUACGGUCGCAAGACUAAAACUCAAAGGAAUUGAUGG
rnacentral:rRNA from 1 species